rnacentral:rRNA from 1 species
GACGAACGCUGGCGGCGUGCUUAACACAUGCAAGUCGAACGGAAAGGCCCUGCUUUUGUGGGGUGCUCGAGUGGCGAACGGGUGAGUAACACGUGAGUAACCUGCCCUUGACUUUGGGAUAACUUCAGGAAACUGGGGCUAAUACCGGAUAGGAGCUCCUGCUGCAUGGUGGGGGUUGGAAAGUUUCGGCGGUUGGGGAUGGACUCGCGGCUUAUCAGCUUGUUGGUGGGGUAGUGGCUUACCAAGGAUUUGACGGGUAGCCGGCCUGAGAGGGUGACCGGCCACAUUGGGACUGAGAUACGGCCCAGACUCCUACGGGAGGCAGCAGUGGGGAAUAUUGCACAAUGGGCGGAAGCCUGAUGCAGCAACGCCGCGUGCGGGAUGACGGCCUUCGGGUUGUAAACCGCUUUCGCCUGUGACGAAGCGUGAGUGACGGUAAUGGGUAAAGAAGCACCGGCUAACUACGUGCCAGCAGCCGCGGUGAUACGUAGGGUGCGAGCGUUGUCCGGAUUUAUUGGGCGUAAAGGGCUCGUAGGUGGUUGAUCGCGUCGGAAGUGUAAUCUUGGGGCUUAACCCUGAGCGUGCUUUCGAUACGGGUUGACUUGAGGAAGGUAGGGGAGAAUGGAAUUCCUGGUGGAGCGGUGGAAUGCGCAGAUAUCAGGAGGAACACCAGUGGCGAAGGCGGUUCUCUGGGCCUUUCCUGACGCUGAGGAGCGAAAGCGUGGGGAGCGAACAGGCUUAGAUACCCUGGUAGUCCACGCUGUAAACGGUGGGUACUAGGUGUGGGGUCCAUUCCACGGGUUCCGUGCCGUAGCUAACGCUUUAAGUACCCCGCCUGGGGAGUACGGCCGCAAGGCUAAAACUCAAAGGAAUUGACGGGGCCCCGCACAAGCGGCGGAGCAUGCGGAUUAAUUCGAUGCAACGCGUAGAACCUUACCUGGGUUUGACAUGGAUCGGGAGCGCUCAGAGAUGGGUGUGCCUCUUUUGGGGUCGGUUCACAGGUGGUGCAUGGCUGUCGUCAGCUCGUGUCGUGAGAUGUUGGGUUAAGUCCCGCAACGAGCGCAACCCUUGUUCACUGUUGCCAGCACGUUAUGGUGGGGACUCAGUGGAGACCGCCGGGGUCAACUCGGAGGAAGGUGGGGAUGACGUCAAGUCAUCAUGCCCCUUAUGUCCAGGGCUUCACGCAUGCUACAAUGGCUGGUACAGAGAGUGGCGAGCCUGUGAGGGUGAGCGAAUCUCGGAAAGCCGGUCUCAGUUCGGAUUGGGGUCUGCAACUCGACCUCAUGAAGUCGGAGUCGCUAGUAAUCGCAGAUCAGCAACGCUGCGGUGAAUACGUUCCCGGG